rnacentral:rRNA from 1 species
AGAGUUUGAUCCUGGCUCAGGAUAAACGCUGGCGGCGUGCCUAACACAUGCAAGUCGAACGCCCUGCUUUCGGGUAGGGAGUGGCGGACGGGUGAGGAACACGUGGGUAUCUGCCCUGGGGUGAGGAAUACCGGCGAGAAAUCGCCGACAAUACCGCAUAGGCUCGGAGACGAGCAAAGUCGCAAGACGCCCUGGGAUGA